GACCACUGUUUUAGAGUAAUAAUAAUAUACUCUUUCAUUCAUACGCAGCAGGUAAAGUGCGCAAGCUCAUACGGCCGUCAUACGGCCUCAUAAGGCUGCAGCCUCUGGAGGUCGCGUGUCUUAUUUCAGAAAGUUAACAAGUAUAAAGUUGACUAUUAUUCUUAGUUUAUCGUAAAUUGUUGUAAUAUGCUUAUGACUUGCGAAUGUAAUGCUCAGUUAACUUAAUAAACCAGGUUUGAUGACGUAUACAGCCCGCCUAUGCGACCUCCGUAGGAUGCAGCCUUCCGUUUGAGAAACGGCCUAUACCGAGGGCGAGCGUCCGCGAAAUUUUAUCUGAAUUGAUUCUUCAACAAUGGCAGAGCAAACAUUUACUGUCGUAAUGAUUAAACACAUUUUAACGUUUAAAUUAAAACUCCUACCUUUCCAGGGGUUUCUGUUCCUUCAGCCUUCCAGCGAGACUUCAGUCAUACUGUAACCGUUUCCCAAUGUCAAGAAAGGAUCCUCGGAAGCCAGAAUUUCUAGGAUGCUACGUCAUCGUCAGAGCCGGCCCUAGACCUUCGGGGGCCCUAACCACAAUUUGGUCAGGGGCCCAUUAGAUCGAAAAAACUCAAGCUCAUCAUGCUCGGAGAGUCCAUUCUGGGGGUAAAAAAUGGAUGCUUUCCAUCGAGGGCAGAGUUCUCCUCCAAUUGAGUGACCGUUGUGAUUUCACUUCUGCUCUAGCCAUGUAUGAUGCAGCCACUACAUUGGAAUUUAUCCAGAGGGUAGAGUCCAGCCCAGGAAGUCAACUAGUUCAGGUCCAGUUUUAAAAGAAUAAUAGUUCUGAAAAAAAAACCGUCUUGGAGAAAAACAAUAUUCAGGUUUGAAAUCCUGCUGUAAAUGUAAAUCAUUUAAUUUUUAUGCAUUUGUAAUUUACCAGAAACAUUUUAAUAAAUAUUGAUUGUUUUGUGUGUUCAGAAAAGUGUUUUUGUAUGAAGUGUUGAAAUUAAAUGAAAUAUUCACAGAAAAAUGUUAACAUAUAAAAAAAAUGUAUGUGUUCAGAAAAGUUUUGAGAUGUUCACAGAAAAAAUGUAACAUGUUGAAAAAAAUGUAUGCUAUGCUAUUUUUAAAUUAUGAAUUUUUGUAAUUUAAAGUGAGAAAAUAAAAGGCAUUUUUGUGACAAACAGUGUCUUCAUUUUACAGUACACAAAAUAAAUGCAGUAAUCCCUAUUACAGUAGUAGUUAUGAAAUACAGUACUGUGAUUAUUACUGUAAAAGAGUUCACAGUAAUUUUAAUUUUACUGCAGUUACAUUUACAGUAAGAAUACUGUGAAAUGAAAUACAGCAACUUACUAGCUAAUUGCUGCCAGCAAGUUACUGUAUUUUUCACAGUAUUC